rnacentral:rRNA from 1 species
AGAGGGUGCAAGCGUUAAUCGGAAUAACUGGGCGUAAAGAGCGUGUAGGUGGAAGUAUAAGUCAAAGGUGAAAUCCCCGGGCUCAACCUGGGAACUGCCUUUGAAACUAUACAUCUAGAGUACGAGAGAGGAAAGUGGAAUUUCCGGUGUAGCGGUGAAAUGCGUAGAUAUCGGAAGGAACACCAGUGGCGAAGGCGGCUUUCUGGCUCGAUACUGACACUGAGACGCGAAAGCGUGGGGAGCGAACAGGGAUUAGAUACCCUGGUAGUCCACGCCGUAAACGAUGAGAACUAGAUGUUGGGGAGUUUAUCUUUUCAGUGUCGAAGCUAACGCGUUAAGUUCUCCGCCUGGGGGAGUACGGCCGCAAGGCUA